AGAAUCAACGCUGGCGGCGUGCCUAACACAUGCAAGUCGAACGAGAAAGUGGAGCAAUCCAUGAGUAAAGUGGCGCACGGGUGAGUAACACGUGACUAACCUACCCUUGAGUGGGGGAUAACCUAGAGAAAUCUGGGCUAAUACCGCAUAAUACCUUCGGGUCAAAGGAGCAAUUCGCUUAAGGAGGGGGUCGCGGCCGAUUAGUUAGUUGGCGGGGUAAUGGCCCACCAAGACUAUGAUCGGUAUCCGGCCUGAGAGGGCGCACGGACACACUGGAACUGAAACACGGUCCAGACUCCUACGGGAGGCAGCAGUGGGAAUUUGCGCAAUGGGGGAAACCCUGACGCAGCAACGCCGCGUGGAGGAUGAAGUCCCUUGGGACGUAAACUCCUUUCGAUCGGGACGAUAAUGACGGUACCGAGAGAAGAAGCCCCGGCUAACUUCGCGCCAGCAGCCGC
rnacentral:rRNA from 1 species